AUUGAACGCUGGCGGCAGGCCUAACACAUGCAAGUCGAACGAGUGGCGGACGGGUGAGUAAUGUCUGGGAAACUGCCCGAUGGAGGGGGAUAACUACUGGAAACGGUAGCUAAUACCGCAUACCAUCGGAUGUGCCCAGAUGGGAUUAGCUAGUAGGGGGGGUAACGGCUCACCAAGGCGACGAUCCCUAGCUGGUCUGAGAGGAUGACCAGCAACACUGGAACUGAGACACGGUCCAGACUCCUACGGGAGGCAGCAGUGGGGAAUAUUGCACAAUGGGCGCAAGCCUGAUGCAGCCAUGCCGCGGGUAUGAAGAAGGCCUUCGGGUUGUAAAGUACUUUCAGCGGGGAGGCGUUACCCGCAGAAGAAGCACCGGCUAACUCCGUGCCAGCAGCCGCGGUAAUAC
rnacentral:rRNA from 1 species